rnacentral:rRNA from 1 species
AUUGAACGCUGGCGGAAUGCUUUACACAUGCAAGUCGAGCGGCAGCGCGGGGCAACCUGGCGGCGAGCGGCGAACGGGUGAGUAAUGCAUCGGAACAUGUCCAUGUCGUGGGGGAUAGCCCGGCGAAAGCCGGAUUAAUACCGCAUACGCCCGACGAGGGGAAAGGACCGGGGACCGGCAGGGCCGUGGCGCGAUUGGGUUGGGCCGAUGUCCGAUCAGCUAGUUGGUGGGGUAAAGGACCCACCAAGGCGAUGAUCGGUAGCUGGUCUGAGAGGAUGAUCAGCCACACUGGGACUGAGAGACGGCCCAGACUCCUAC